GACGAACGCUGGCGGCGUGCCUAAUACAUGCAAGUAGAACGCACAGUUUAUACCGUAGCUUGCUACACCAUAGACUGUGAGUUGCGAACGGGUGAGUAACGCGUAGGUAACCUGCCUGGUAGCGGGGGAUAACUAUUGGAAACGAUAGCUAAUACCGCAUAAUAUUAAUUAUUGCAUGAUAAUUGAUUGAAAGGUGCAAUUGCACCACUACCAGAUGGACCUGCGUUGUAUUAGCUAGUAGGUGAGGUAACGGCUCACCUAGGCGACGAUACAUAGCCGACCUGAGAGGGUGAUCGGCCACACUGGGACUGAGACACGGCCCAGACUCCUACGGGAGGCAGCAGUAGGGAAUCUUCGGCAAUGGACGAAAGUCUGACCGAGCAACGCCGCGUGAGUGAAGAAGGUUUUCGGAUCGUAAAGCUCUGUUGUAAGAGAAGAACGGGUGUGAGAG
rnacentral:rRNA from 1 species